GAGGCUGGGGCUCAGUGGUAGAGCACUUGCCUAGCAUGUGUGAGGCCCUGAGUUUGAUUCUCAGCACCACA
rnacentral:tRNA from 1 species